UACGUAGGGACCAAGCGUUGUUCGGAUUUACUGGGCGUAAAGGGCGCGUAGGCGGCGAAUCAAGUCAGCUGUGAAAUCUCCGAGCUUAACUCGGAACGGUCAAGUGAUACUGCUGUGCUAGAGUACAGAAGGGGCAAUCGGAAUUCUUGGUGUAGCGGUGAAAUGCGUAGAUAUCAAGAGGAACACCUGAGGUGAAGACGGGUUGCUGGGCUGAUACUGACGCUGAGGCGCGAAAGCUAGGGUAGCAAACGGG
rnacentral:rRNA from 1 species